UUCUGCCCUUACAAUUCUGACUCUCUCUCUCUCUCUCUCGUCUACUUCUGUCAUUGAUGUUUCUACUUCUCUCCAUCUGCAUCUUCUCCAUAGAGAAGAUAAUAUCUCAAAUCCCAAUCUCUAAUUCUAUCUCCAAAUGAGAUGGAUUCUUUUUUAGACUUGCCAAGCAGAGGUAGCGAUCAGAGGCCGUGUGUGCCACCCAAGCAUGAGAGACCCAUUGGAUAUGGGAUUCGAUUUCAUGACCCCGAGAAAGCUCACAUUUGAUCAAGUGGAGUUGGAGUCCAACCAUCAAAGUAGCAGCAUCAAGAAAGUGGGUUCUAGUGGUAAGAAGAAGAUGUCCACUGCUGGGUUUAAUCUUAACUUAAGUGCACUGAAGAACAAGGAGUGGAAAAGCAAGAAGAACGAGAUGGCAUCGAUACCUGAUUUCUCUCCAACUCCUAUUGGGUAUGGAAUAAGGUCAAGAUCAGGCAUGGAAGAAUCGAGAAAAUCAUCUUGAGGGUAGAUUCUGUAAAUACGGCGAGCAAGGGCUUCUGCAAUUACCCGAGGUUGGUCUCAGCUAGGAUUGUCACUCGGUCGGUUCGAAUCGGUUAUAGGUAUUACUAACUUCAAAACCAAAGCUUUCGGUUUCAAAAUUGAGCUACUAAUUACCAACCAAAAUUUUCGGUUUUUAAUCAUAACUACCAAAUUCGGUAUUUUGGUUUUCGGUAUUACCAACUUUAGAACAACUAAUUCUUUGUAAUUAAAAUUAGAAUGAACAAAACUAGGUUCUUCAAUUUUAUAGUGGUAAACUUUUUGCUCGUCUCCUAAUUAUAGCUUUCUUUUAUAUAUAUGACAUCAAGUUUGAGUCAUUUUCAAUAAAACUAGGUUACUUAAAAUGCAUAUACUAUUAAUGUAGUAUAUGUAGUAAUGUUCAUACUAUUAUGAAAAAAUUUAUGUUUAUUUCUUAAUAUACAUGUAUGUGUAUUGAAAAUCAUAGUAUAUAAAGCUAAUAUUUAGAUAAUCGGUAGAUUCGGUAUUUACCAAAACCAAACCAAUUUUUUCAGUAAUUUUCGAUUUCAGUUUUAUCGGUCUCUGUUACCAAAAGGUCGGUUUACCAAACUUAAAACAUCGGUUGGUAUUUGGUCGGUUUGGUAAUUACCAAACCAAGUGGCAGCCCUAGUCUCAGCAAAUGGAUUUAUGCUUUCUGGGGACGAAGAUCGGUUGACCAAGUAGUAUAAAUAACUUGAAGGUGUAAAACCAUAGUUACAUGCUCACAACAUAUGCACAACAAUCAUAAAAGGAUUAAGGCUUACCUUCAGCAAUAACAGGCAUGGAUUCCAUCUUAUGCAACUGCUUAACUCGAUCACUGAAUGUGGUCUUCUGUUACUUACCAACUUGCUUCUCAAUGGACAGAACUUAUGCAAUAGUCGUGGUAGUAAUCAGGGACCAAUUCAUCUGUAUAUAUAUGAGACUUAAACCUCAAGAAGCUUCCCAUUAAAGCAUUCCUUGUCGGUUUAGGUUUCACGGUUAGAUUCCUAAUGUAUCACAACUUGUAGCCUUUCUUGUAGACUAAGCAAUGGAUUACUAUCCUUAAUGAAUUGAUACACUACUUCAUUAA